rnacentral:lncRNA from 1 species
AAUUAGGGUUGGAAGUGCUGGCAAGAGAAGCCUGAGACACAAGCAGAAGAGAGAAGUGCUCCAGUUGGAAAGGAAAAGAAAUGGCCAAGGAACUAGAAGUCUUCACAAGUUCAGUGACCAGAGAUGGAGGUGCUAGAAGUUAAGAUAGCAAGCAACGAACAAACACAAUGGUUCAGAGUAGAUGAGUUCCUUUGGAUGAAGUCACCAAAGUGUAAGCGACCAUGAGAAUGAGUUUCAGAAGUAAAGAGAAGGUACAGAUGGUAACAUUGAGAUAAAAAUUAUUCUAAACUGGAGCACUGCUUCUCGGGGCCUUAGUAUUUGUUACCUGCCAGGAGCAACCACCCCCUCCCUAGGGAGAGUCUAUCGGUGUCUUCACCCAUAUUGUGCAGAUGAGGAAACAGACGCAGAACAGUUAAGCAAGUUCCUUAGAUGGAACAGAGACUCAAGCCCAAGCCAUCUGCCACCAGAGUCCUCUCCUCCAAUGCCAUACAGUACUGCUGCUCUCCAUAAAAUGACAACAAUGGCAUGUGGAGAUCAAGAGGCAGGAAGACACAAGAUGAAUGGUCAUCUAAAAUGUAACUAAAGGGUCUCCCAUAUAUCAAGAGAAUUCAUCACAAAAUUGAGUCUCCAGUAUUCACCAGUUUGUGCUAUAAAUCGAGGGAUCCUACCUAGUACAACAGUCGCAGAGGCGGGAAUUAAUUCCUCCCAUACUCCCUCCAUGAAAUUUGCACAAAAGUUUUUUUUAUUAUUUAGAAAAAAAAACCUGAAAUGAUAUUCUGGUAUUCAGCCUGCUGGCUAGUAGAAUCUUACAUUAAUUGAUUCUAUAAAAAUCUACAUCCCAGCAGCCAAACGUGUUCAGCUGAGAAACAACUGAACAAUUCACUGCAGAAUCAAAUGGUUCCACACACAAAGGAAUAAAUAGAUGGUAAAACAAUAGUUAGUUUCACAGACCAUCUGGACAAGCUAACAGGCUGCAUCUGACGUCCGUCAACCUGGCCAUCCUAGAAGUUCCUAGAUUGUACUCUCUUGGAACAUCCUGAGAGGAUAGGAUAAAAUCAGACUCAUUUUUCAAACCAAAUUUUAAAUGUGUGCCUACAUGGAAGAGCUUCUCCUUUCUCAGAUAUUCAACUAUAUCAUGCCACAUUUGGCCAACAAUUCCUAACAACAUUUAUGAGAAUUAUGCCAAGAACUGCAAUUCAACUGACUGCAGCACAUAAAUUCCCCAGGACUGAGUUAUCGGUGGAAGUAGAGCGUCAAUAUCAUGUCAUAGCAUGCUUUGUUCAAUAUUUGUGGCAGUAAACUUGAGGAUGAACUA